GAUUGGAAGUUACUGGUGCCAGUGUCCUGCUGGAUUUACUAACUUUGGCAAAAACCAAACUAAGUGUGUAGAGCUUAAUUGUGACCAGUACGAAACACAGCCUGGACAGACUCUACCAGGCUUUGAUAGUUGGUCUCUGUUGAGAAACAACUGUUUGGUGUUGAGCAACUCUAUGUUGCCUGGACUGACAAGACUGCUGCCAACUGGAGAU